AUUAUGGCUCAGGAUGAACGCUAGCUACAGGCUUAACACAUGCAAGUCGAGGGGCAGCAUGGAGUUUGCUUGCAAACUCUGAUGGCGACCGGCGCACGGGUGAGUAACGCGUAUCCAACCUUCCCUAUAGUAGAGGAUAGCCCGGCGAAAGUCGGAUUAAUACUCUAUGUUUUCCGUUGCAGACAUCUAAGAUGGAACAAAGGCUUGCCGCUAUAGGAUGGGGAUGCGUCUGAUUAGGUAGUCGGCGGGGUAACGGCCCACCGAGCCAUCGAUCAGUAGGGGUUCUGAGAGGAAGGUCCCCCACAUUGGAACUGAGACACGGUCCAAACUCCUACGGGAGGCAGCAGUGAGGAAUAUUGGUCAAUGGACGAGAGUCUGAACCAGCCAAGUAGCGUGCAAGGACGACGGCCCUAUGGGUUGUAAACUGCUUUUAUGCGGGGAUAAAGUUCACUACGUGUAGUGUUCUGUAGGUACCGCAUGAAUAAGGACCGGCUAAUUCCGUGCCAGCAGCAGC
rnacentral:rRNA from 1 species